UUAUUAUUAUUAUUAUUAUUAUUAUUAUUAUUAUUAUUAUUAUUAUUAUUAUUAUUGUUUUUAGGAAGCAGCAUUUUUGUUAAACAGCACCGAUGCUCGACGAUAGUUAAAGGCGAUUUGUAAUUUAAAUGGUGACGGCGAUGGUGGGAAUAAGGCGUUGCAGCGUGCGAAGGGAAGCGGGCGAGUAAAACGAAAACAGAAAAUCAAGAACAAACACAAUGUGAUUAGCGAUGAUAAGGAUUUUGGCGAGGAGAUUCGGUUCGUCCGUUUUUAGGAAACGUCUUUACGCUUAAUCAUUGUCGAUAUUUUGAUAUAAGAUGAAUCAUUUUCAUCAUUCGAUUUCGUUUUAAAUAAAAUUUAUCAAAAGUU